rnacentral:rRNA from 1 species
AAAGGAAAAAUUAAUAAAAAAUAAAUAAAAAAAAAAUUUAUAUAAUUAUUUAAUGGGGGUUAAAGUAUUUAUAUAGAAAAAAUUUUUUAAUUUAUAAAGAAUUAGUAUUGUAAAAGAAGUUUGAAAAAUUUUAAAUAGAAAAUUAAUGAAAAGUAAAUUUUAUUUAUUGUAUCUUGUGUAUCAGAGUUUAUUAAAAAAAUAAUUUAAGGUAAUUUAUUUCGAAUUUAAAGGAGAUAAUUAAUUAAUAAAGUUAAUGUGGCAUAAUUAUUUUUAAUAAUUAAUUGGAAAUGAUAAGUUAAUCGUUUUUAAAGAUAUCUAGUUUUUUUAGAAAAAAAUUCAAUUUUAAAUUGAAUUUUUAUAAAGAUUAAUUAUUUAAUUAAUAUAAAAUUCAAUUAAAUAUUUUAGGGGAUAAGCUUUAAAUUAAAAAUUUAUAAUUCAAUUAAAUUUAAUUGAAGUUUUUAAAAUUUAUAUUUUUUAUAAAUUAUAAUUUAUUAUAAAUAAUUUCAUUUAAUUAAAAUUUUUUUUUAUAUUUAAAUUUUUAUAAAAAUAUAAUUUUUAAUUUAUAAAAAUUAGAAUUUAUGAUAAAAUUAGUAUAUAAUAAUUAAAUAAGAAAAAAUUAAUUUUAAUUAAUAAAAAGGAAUUCGGCAAAUGAAUAUAUUCACUUGUUUAUCAAAAACAUGUCUUUUUGAAAAUAAUUUAAAGUCUAAUCUGCCCACUGAAUGAUUUUAAAGGGCUGCAGUAUACUGACUGUACAAAGGUAGCAUAAUCAGUAGUCUUUUAAUUGAAGACUUGUAUGAAUGAUUUGAUGAGAUAUAAACUGUCUCUUUAUUAUAUAUAGAAUUUAAUUUUUUAGUUAAAAAGCUAAAAUUUUUAUAAAAGACGAGAAGACCCUAUAGAUCUUUAUAUUUUAUUUUUUUAAAUUUACUAUAUAAAAUUUUUGAUUUUUAUAUAAUAAAAUAUUUUAUUGGGGUGAUAGAAAAAUUAAAUAAACUUUUUUUAAAAAUUAAACAUUAAUUUAUGAAUAUUUGAUCCAUAAUUUAUGAUUAUAAGAAUAAGUUACCUUAGGGAUAACAGCGUAAUUUUUUUUUUUAGUUCAAAUAAAAAAAAGAGUUUGCGACCUCGAUGUUGGAUUAAGAUAAAAUUUAAAUGCAAAAGUUUAAAAUUUUGAUCUGUUCGAUCAUUAAAAUCUUACAUGAUCUGAGUUCAAACCGGCGUAAGCCAGGUUGGUUUCUAUCUUUAUAUAAAAUAAAUAGUUUAGUACGAAAGGAUCAAUUAUUUUAAAUAAUUUAAUAAAAAGAAUAUUAUUAAUAAAAAUUU